rnacentral:rRNA from 1 species
UACGGAGGGUGCAAGCGUUGUCCGGAUUUAUUGGGUUUAAAGGGUGCGUAGGCGGUACGUUAAGUCAGUGGUGAAAUCUCUCGGCUCAACCGGGAAACUGCCAUUGAUACUGGCGUACUUGAGUAUGGACGAGGUAGGCGGAAUUUAUGGUGUAGCGGUGAAAUGCAUAGAUACCAUAAAGAACACCGAUAGUGAAGACAGCUUACUAGACCAUAACUGACGCUGAGGCACGAAAGCGUGGGGAGCGAACAGGAUUAGAUACCCCCGUA